rnacentral:lncRNA from 1 species
GCAAAUCAGUGGCUUGGGGUGGUGGGUGGAGCUUGCAGUAUUUUUCUAGAUUUUUGUAGUUGGGAAAUAAAUCUCCAGGGAUGGUCAGGGUUGCAGGCUAAUUCCAGUACAGCAGGAUCGGGGCUAUGAAAACAUGCACACAAAGGAAACUUCAAAGCUCUUCCUCGAAUCUGAAUGGGAAGGGGCCUUCGAAAGGUCAUGUUAACUUUGCACCAAAUGCCCUCUUGCUUUCCGAUGGCCCUGCACUCUGCAGACAUUUCUGGUCCAACCCGCUCAGUGGGGUCAGGAUUCAACAAGACCCUGAAGACAAAGACAGAAGACUGAGCUCCAUCACUGAAGGCAAUCACUCCCACUUCAAUCCAGUCUCUUCCCCAACCCUGGUCAAACCCUGACACAGGAGGCAAUGCCCUGCUUGCAUGCGGACCUCUGGAUUCCCCAUAGCCAGAACUCAAAAUUGUAACCCAGUCUGGCCCCAGGAGCCCCGGUCAAGAAACAGUGCCCUAGUGCUACAGAACGGUCACCGAACGGACAGUUCUCAUCUCAGGACAGCGUGCACAGCCAGGCUGACCAGGUGUGAAUUCCCACUCUGCUACUACUCACUGUGUGACCUUGGGCAAACUGCUUAACCUCUCUGUGCCUUUAGGAUCCUUAUCUGUAAAAUGAAGACAACAAGGUUGUUAUGAGGAUUAAAAGACUUAAUGCCCAUAAAGUACUUAGAACACAGCCUAGUACAGAGCAAGCACUAAGUUUGCUAAAUAAGCCAAGAUCUGAAAGGCAGGCCAGGAGGUGCGGCUUCUGUAAAUCAGAAUUUGCCCCUGCUGUGACCUCAGGACAUGCAGUUGUGUUUCUGGAGGUCCCUGGCCACCUGUGCCAGGGGUGAGGUAGAGAAUCCCUGGGGCAGUUCCCCUGCAGAGGUAACUGUUUUUAAGGAAAGUUCAUUUGAGCAGAGAGCAAAUUCAGUGCAAAGAGUUCCAGAACUUCCCAUUCUACAGGUCUGGGGAUUAGAGUAAUGGGAAAAAAACUUUUCUCUACCAAUUUAGGGAUUUAGGUUCAAGAGUUGGGGGUUGGGCCAGAUUAACAGGAGGAAAGAAGUUUAUGCAUACCCUGAGUGCAGUGUAAUGAGUAACUCAUGAGGAACCAGAGGUAAAGGUUCAUAGACCAACUUAACACAAGUGGGCAGCAGGGGGACGGGUCUGAAUAGGGCUCUUCCCACCAGCAGAAACCUCUCCCCUAUUAUUCUCCCUCUCUUAUUAACUCUAUUUAUCCCUUUAGACUCAGCUCAAAGAGGACCACCUCCAAGAAGCCCCCCAUCUGAUACAGCUGCCCAUCUCUGAGGUCUCACAAAUCCCUACUAUGCUUGACCACACUCACUGCUUGCUCCCCACUAGACUUGACUCUCCUUGAGGGCAGGUGACAAUCAGAUUCAAUAUGCCUUGUGCACACUCAGCACUGAAUAUAUGUUUGUAAGAAGAGGAGGUAGGGGAAAGGAAGAGAGAGACGAUAGAUGUAUUCGCGAGACAGCAAAUAACUCAUCAUCUCUCUUUCUUCCCUUCAUUCCCCAGGAGUGAGGCUCCAAGUGGAACCAGGACUGUUGUCAGAACCACUCUCCUCUGUCCUCCACACCCCAAGCAAAACAAGCUGGACAUCAUAUAAGUCUCAGAGACAUCAUGUUUGCUGCUGAAGUUGCACAAAAACGGAGGGUUCAGGCGCUGGAAGAGUGUGUGUUCCCAGAAUAUCCUGACUUUGUUGGAGGAAUUUAAGGCUGAUAACAGAUUGAAAACACAACAUGCUUGGGGGCAGGGGGAUGGGAUGGAUUGGGAGAUUGGGAUUGACACACACACACACAUAUAUAUACUACUGUGUAUAAAAUAGAUAACUAAUAAAAAACCAACUAUAUAGCACAGGGAACUGUACUCGGCACUCCGUAGUGACCUAAAUGUGAAGGAAAUCUAAGGAAGAGGGGAAGGAAAUCCAAGGAAGAGGGGAUAUAUGUGUAUGUGUGGCUGACUGACUUUGCUAUACAGCAGAAACUGACAGAACAUUGCAAAGCAACUAUGUGUGUGUGCUCAGUCACGUCUGACUCUGCGACUCCAUGCACUGUAGCCCACCAGACUCCUCUGUUCAUGGGAUUCUCCAGGCAAGAAUACUGGAGUGGGAUGCCAUUUCCUCCUUCAGAGGACCUCCCCAACUCUGGGAUCAAACCUGUGUCUCUUAAGUCUCCGGCAUGGACAGGUGGAUUCUUUACCACUGCAUCACCUAAAGCCAACUGAACUCCAGUUUAAAGAAAGAAGAGGAAAACAGCCCAUGGUGACAAUCUCUGUGGGGAACUCUCGGGAUCGAGCAGAUUUCCUGAGAGCAGUCAGUAGUGCUGGGAGGAGGCUGAAAGUCUGUGAUAGAAGCAGCUCAAGGCCAAGCUAUGGGGUGACCCAGCAGGAGAUCUGUCGUGGGAAUCUCAGAGCUUGUAGGACUGCUCUGCCACUUCUGGGCACACAUCAGACCUCCAGUUAUUCACAGACUUCUCUUCCCACAGGCAUCAGGUUAAUAUUUUAAACAUUAACUCUGUUUUGUUUUGCUUCCGUUUUCUGUUUGUUGAGACCACCUGUGCUCAGGAGGGGUUAGCCAUACGCGUGCCAUCUUUAUCACCAUAUGCAGAGCUCACUAUUGUCUUACUUGAUAUUUUGACCCCUUCACUCCAUCUCCAACCUCAUUUUUCUCUUCUAUCAUUCUUUUUGUCCAGCCAAUCUGUAUUUCUAUUUGUAUCUAGGCCCAAGAUUAAUAUUAUUUUGUGCAUAUCUUUGAAAAUAUCCUUCAGUGGUCUUUUGGUUUACAUGUCAUUCUUUUCUCACUUUUUUUUUUUCCAGUCAAGAUUAUGAGAUUUUGAGAUGGUUCCAAGUUAAUAUAAAAGAAAAAAUGGACCCCUUAUCUGCUGAAUGGUACUCAUCAUUUUCAUAUAACAAUUUAUUUACCUACUUUUCCUAUGAAUAAGCUUCUAGGUGUUUCCAAAUCUUCACCAUUACAAACAAUUCUACAAGAGCAUACCCACACAUUUCUUUGGGGGCCUGGGCAAGAGAGUCUCUAGGCUCAGCAUCCCUGAGUGCAGGGUUGUAGAAUUAAUUGGUCCAUAUUCCAUUUCACUUAACACUUCAAUCUGCUUCCCAGAAAGACUGUACCCGUUAACAUUCCCAGGAGGUUUUCUGUUUUCCUUCACCUUUGGUGGCACUUGAUAUCAUCCAACUUUUUAACACUUGCCAAUCUGGCAUGUGUAAGACCCAUCUCUCCUUCUUAACCACAUUUUCCUCCUGUCUUGGUCUCCUGCUUCCCCUUUCAAAGCCUCACAUUGUUCUUUCUCACUGGCUCAGGGAAGGGAUAUGAAACCUGAAGUACCAGAAGGACGGAGGAGGAAGAAGUAUCUCCUUCUAGCUUUUGAGUUUCAAAAUCCUUCACUCAUGGGGGACCAAAGAAGUUUCAGAGCACAGAAAAGAGAUUUAGGAGGAAAAUAUUAUGGAAAAAAGGGGGAAGUCAAGCAAUCACUUUGGCCCAGCCUGACCUAAACCAUGAUGGCUGGGCUGAGUGAAGUAGAAUGUCAAAAAAGAAGGAAAGAAAAGUUCUGUGGUUUGCAAACCAGACACUGAUGUUGAGGCAGCAGCAUAGAUACAGGAAGUGGGCUUUAAGGGCACUAAGGAGGGUCGGUGUCUGUGGUUCCCUAGAUGGUGUCUUCAUGUAAUACUUCUCAAUUUGACUAGUUGUUACAGAUAAUGUAUUAUUUUACCAGAUAAUAAUAUUACCAGAUAUUUUCAUUUUCCCAAAAGAAUCCAAAAUUAGAAUUUUUAUGUGGAAGCUCGCCUUCAAAAAAAACAAAAGGUCACUGUGGGAAACUACAAACAUAUUUAAAGUUAGGCAAAAAAAUAAAAAUAAAGUUAGGGAAAAUGGUAAAAUGAACUUCCUUGUACCCAUGACUAAGUUUCAACAGUUAUCAACUCAUGACCAAUUUUGUUUCUUUUAUAACCCCACCCUUCUCUAGUCCUGGAUGAGUUUAAAGUAAAUCCCAGACUCAUAAUUUUCUUUGUAAAGAUAAGAACUCACUUCUUUAAAAACCAUAACACAGUAUCAUAACUAAAUAAACCAUAGUAAUUU